rnacentral:rRNA from 1 species
AGAGUUUGAUCAUGGCUCAGGAUGAACGCUGGCGGCGUGCUUAACACAUGCAAGUCGAACGAAGCACUUUAUUUGAUUUCUUCGGAAUGAAGAUUUAGUGACUGAGUGGCGGACGGGUGAGUAACGCGUGGGCAACCUGCCUCAUACAGGGGGAUAACAGUUGGAAACGACUGCUAAUACCGCAUAAGCGCACAGUACCGCAUGGUACGGUGUGGAAAACUCCGGUGGUAUGAGAUGGGCCCGCGUCUGAUUAGCUAGUUGGCGGGGUAACGGCCCACCAAAGCGACGAUCAGUAGCCGACCUGAGAGGGUGACCGGCCACAUUGGGACUGAGACACGGCCCAAACCCCUACGGGAGGCAGCAGUGGGGAAUAUUGCACAAUGGGGGAAACCCUGAUGCAGCGACGCCGCGUGAGCGAAGAAGUAUUUCGGUAUGUAAAGCUCUAUCAGCAGGGAAGAAGAAUGACGGUACCUGACUAAGAAGCACCGGCUAAAUACGUGCCAGCAGCCGCGGUAAUACGUAUGGUGCAAGCGUUAUCCGGAUUUACUGGGUGUAAAGGGAGCGCAGGCGGAAGGCUAAGUCUGAUGUGAAAGCCCGGGGCUCAACCCCGGUACUGCAUUGGAAACUGGUCAUCUAGAGUGUCGGAGGGGUAAGUGGAAUUCCUAGUGUAGCGGUGAAAUGCGUAGAUAUUAGGAGGAACACCAGUGGCGAAGGCGGCUUACUGGACGAUUACUGACGCUGAGGCUCGAAAGCGUGGGGAGCAAACAGGAUUAGAUACCCUGGUAGUCCACGCCGUAAAC